GCCCCGGUGGCUCACUGGUCUAAGAGCGCGCACCAUAAAGGCUGUGGCCUUCCCGCGGCGACCCGGGUUCGAUUCCGGCUGGGGUC